UAGGAAGUGGGAAGUGCGGUAUCAUUUGGAACAGAGGAAAAUGGAGAGAAGGAAUCUGGAAUCCGAAAGCUGUGUUCGUGGCCUUCGGCACUAAAGGCGAUGUCUACCCUCUCUUGCAGCUAUUGCUGCAGCUUUUGCUUGUGACCAGAAACAGUGUGAUGUGAUGCUAAUAACUCACUCAGCACACGUGGUUUGCAUUUUAAACAUUUACCCUAUUAAGUCUAAAAGAGCAUUACAUUAGUUUUUGGAUCAUUCUGGAUACCUUUCGUUGCAAUCCUCUUACAUUGGCAGUCAUGAUGGUUUGCUUAACUGUUUGCCAGAAGGAUGGAGCCUUGCAGAAAGUUUUUGUGUCCGAUGCAUUGUAGCUGCUCCUUAUGUUGUUCCAUACAGAGGUGUCAGGUGUGAGAAAAUAAAAGCUUUGGAUGUGUCAUUGCCUUAUGCCUAGGAGGAGGGUCGUUGCACAGAUAAACCAAAUGUGGAUGUAGAGACAUGUACAAAUUCAGGAGGCAGGAAGAAGAGCAAAGCUCAAUUGUAGGAGUUAGGAAUCCAAUGCUUCAACCGCUGCCCUCAAAGCCAACGGACGUUAAACAAGUGGAGGCACAGACAUAUGCAAUCAUCCAUAUUCCCUUAAAGUUUGAAAAUGUAUAUAAAAGGUACAACUUCGCCAUCAUAACAAGCCAAGAUAAAAGUUUAUGCCCUGUAACAAAAAAGAGAAAAGUAAGAGAUAACUAGUACAUAUUCCACUUUUCAUGUUCGAGUUUGGUGGUUGACUUGCACCAACCAAAAACAAUACAAUACAAUAAAAACCUAGUAAUCUAAAGAGAACUGGAGCAUGAUGAAAAUAAGUUGCGUGUACAAGUUUCUCAAACAUCUUGACUUCCACCCCGGCCAGAUCGCUAGCUCCGUUUGAAUGAAAAACGAAAACCAAUUAAUUAAGUACCUUCAAAUCAUGAUAUGUCUAAUCAGCCAAAAGAGAAAAUUGUUGCUUCUCCAAUAUAGUGUUUUCAUCAAAGAAAGGAGCGAUAAGCAUGGUGUUUCAGAUUAAUAUGAAGCUGUAAAAAGAUAUAAAAAAAAAAAAGAAAAAGAAGACGCAUUAGAUAUCCAAAUGUCUAAGCAAUUGUUUUGGAACCAGAAAGUGGCAUUCUGAUGCUUAAUUUGAUAUAUAACUCAAGUGCAAGAUCUGGAAGAAGAUGCUACAAUGUAUAAUUUAAAUUACAAGGUUGAGCCCUCAAAGAAGGUUUCUCAGAGGCAGAUACACAGAGCCCGUUUGGCAUACUGGCCACCUCCAAAUGGCCAUCAUCACCAAUGGAGGUGGACAGAAUGCCAAAAUGUCUAUGGAACAAGGCCUCUGGGAAACCCUAGAGAGCAAAAGAAAAUUAAGCAGAAGGAAGUUGUAGCUUAUGUUUACUGAAGAAGGGGUAGCUAGCUAGGUUGUAAUAUAAGAAAAAUGAGGAAGAUACAACAAAGUUUUCUAUAAUUGCAUUUUGAAUUUAAGAACGGCUUUUUGUAGAAAGAAGGUGCAUCAGCGUGCAUGGAGUUGUACGAUCUGUGGGGAUAUUAUGUUGCAAUAAAGAUAAAAGACUUUCAAUGAGACCUUGGUUUUGUCUGCACAAGUUUACAUGUAAUGUAUAUUUGUGUAAGACUUAUGCUUAAUUUGCAUUGAAAAUUCAGGCGAAACUAUAUGGAAACUUAGCUUUGUAGUGUAUUAUUAUUAUAUUUAUGUAGCACCUGGCAAUUGCAGAAAUGUGGUUUUCUUUUCCCUUGACUAUAUGAUUA